GACGAACGCUGGCGGCGUGCUUAACACAUGCAAGUCGAGCGGUAAGGCCCUUUCGGGGUACGACGAGCGGCGAACGGGUGAGUAACGCGUGGGUGACCUGCCCUCCAGCUCUGGGAGUAAGCCUGGGAAACCGGGUCUAAUACCGGAUAUGACUCCAUGACGCAUGUUGUGAGGUGGAAAGCCUUGUGCGGCUGAGGAUGGGCCCGCGGCCUAUCAGCUUGUUGGUGGGGUGANGGCCUACCAAGGCGACGACGGGUAGCCGGCCUGAGAGGGCGACCGGCCACACUGGGACUGAGACACGGCCCAGACUCCUACGGGAGGCAGCAGUGGGGAAUCUUGCGCAAUGGGCGAAAGCCUGACGCAGCGACGCCGCGUGAGGGAUGACGGCC
rnacentral:rRNA from 1 species